rnacentral:rRNA from 1 species
GACGAACGCUGGCGGCGUGCUUAACACAUGCAAGUCGAGCGGAAAGGCUCCUUCGGGGGUACUCGAGCGGCGAACGGGUGAGUAACACGUGAGUAAUCUGCCCUGUGCUCUGGGAUAGCCACCGGAAACGGUGAUUAAUACCGGAUACAACCACUAUCCGCAUGGGUUGGUGGUGGAAAGUUUUUUCGGCACAGGAUGUGCUCGCGGCCUAUCAGCUUGUUGGUGAGGUAAUGGCUCACCAAGGCUUUGACGGGUAGCCGGCCUGAGAGGGUGACCGGUCACACUGGGACUGAGACACGGCCCAGACUCCUACGGGAGGCAGCAGUGGGGAAUAUUGGACAAUGGGCGGAAGCCUGAUCCAGCAACGCCGCGUGAGGGAUGACGGCCUUCGGGUUGUAAACCUCUUUCAGUACCGACGAAGCGCAAGUGACGGUAGGUACAGAAGAAGGACCGGCCAACUACGUGCCAGCCGCCGCGGUAACAC